rnacentral:rRNA from 1 species
UGGGGAAUAUUGCACAAUGGGCGCAAGCCUGAUGCAGCCAUGCCGCGUGUAUGAAGAAGGCCUUCGGGUUGUAAAGUACUUUCAGCGGGGAGGAAGGCGAUAAGGUUUAUAACCUUGUCGAUUGACGUUACCCGCAGAAGAAGCACCGGCUAACUCCGUGCCAGCAGCCGCGGUAAUACGGAGGGUGCAAGCGUUAAUCGGAAUUACUGGGCGUAAAGCGCACGCAGGCGGUCUGUCAAGUCGGAUGUGAAAUCCCCGGGCUCAACCUGGGAACUGCAUUCGAAACUGGCAGGCUAGAGUCUUGUAGAGGGGGGUAGAAUUCCAGGUGUAGCGGUGAAAUGCGUAGAGAUCUGGAGGAAUACCGGUGGCGAAGGCGGCCCCCUGGACAAAGACUGACGCUCAGGUGCGAAAGCGUGGGGAGCAAACA